rnacentral:lncRNA from 1 species
CUCCUAUUUGGCUCAUAUUUAUAAACUAUUAUAAAUACUCAACUCACUUUUUAACAAAAACGAUCUUACUUAAUGAUUAUAGAACAGCUUUCCAAUGCUAAAGGGCACACAAGUUGUGACAAAUAAACAAUAGAAUACAAAUGAAUAAUCAAGUGAUGAAAUCUUGAAAGGAAGUUGGAGUUGCUAUAACCAUUUAUAAUGUUUCCUUGGUUCAAAUGUCAGCCCUGAGAUUAUCAAUGUAAUGUACAUUAUUAUGAAAGAUGAACCUGCUCUCGCGAAUCUUAAAACAAUCAUCAAGACAAUCUUUGUUCGGUUAUUUUUCUGUCAACUUCACCUACUCUGUGAGGCAGCCACACAACAUGGGUAACCCGUCAACAAACCAAACCGAGAGGAAUCUGGCCAAGAAAACCUUACUCAAGUCAAGAAAGGCGUCAGAGUAUUAAUAUAUGUGGAAAACCUUUAACACGGGUUAUUACAAUAUUCAAUCCUUUCAGCUCUAACCUUAAAUUUACCAAGAGCAAGUAUUGAUUGUAUAGAAAUGUUCAAAAGCAAACUGGUUUCAACAGAUGUCAUUGACUUCGAUUAAUUUUCAAUCAGUGAAUGGUGGAAAAUCCAAAACUGAUAAUCUACCAGCAAUAAAUACUAAAUCUAUUACAAUAUUAAAUUUAACAAAUCUAUUUCAUCCUUUACUUGACAAUAAAUAGUGACCCUUGAAUUUGGU